CCGGUUUAUCUCCUAGAGCCUUCGAUCCAGGAGGUCCUCUCGACUGUGAGUCUCGAGGGUCUUCUGGUAGAGUGAAGGUAGAGAUCCUUCGGGAGUGGAAUCAUGAUUAGACCGAGGGCUCUCCACCCUCGAAUUCCCCUUGAUGGGGAAGACAGGACGACUGGCCCAAGUGGCCCGCCCCACUGCCAGAUCUUGGAGCUCCGACGAUGCUCUUUCCAACUGCACUGACACCUGCGGCUGUGGUUGCUGUUGCUGCAUGGC
rnacentral:lncRNA from 1 species